AAUGAAUGCAGCCUCCAUCUCCCUUCUCCUGCAGCACGCCUCACUUUCAGUGCGCACAGCGAUCUGAUCUCAGCUUGUUUGCUCUGAAGAUAAUGAAUACAGAUUCAAACUCACUGUUCCUGUUCCUUACGGGGAAAAUUGUUCCACCUGCCAAAAACCUCAGGAGUUUCAUCUGAUUUUCAUCUUCUCAAGCUCCUCAUGCAGGAACGACAGCUGGAGAGACCCACUGAGAAGUGAACAAGGAAGAUGGAAGAGCACUGACAGAAACAAUCCCACCUCUGACAUUGUUUCACUUUGCUUUCUCUUCCCUCAUUUGUGCUUCCCCUUUCCUCUGAUCAAGUUUUUCCUGGACUUUAAUUUUUUUCAGUGAGAGCUCUUUUCUUUUUCUUUUUCAGAACAAUUCUUCUGUGUUAAAAAAUUUGUCUAAAUG